rnacentral:rRNA from 1 species
UACGGGGGGGGCAAGCGUUGUUCGGAAUUACUGGGCGUAAAGGGUUCGUAGGUGGCCAACUAAGUCAGACGUGAAAUCCCUCAGCUCAACUGGGGAACUGCGUCUGAUACUGGAUGGCUUGAGUUCGGGAGAGGGAUGCGGAAUUCCAGGUGUAGCGGUGAAAUGCGUAGAUAUCUGGAGGAACGCCGGUGGCGAAGGCGGCAUCCUGGACCGAUACUGACGCUGAUGAGCGAAAGCCAGGGGAGCAAACGGG